rfam:Populus trichocarpa scaffold_11_contig_564, whole genome shotgun sequence.
UCUAGAACUCGAGAUAUGGGUUGAACACUGAAUAGUGUUUGGGCUGCAGGACAUAUUCCGACUUCUCUGUUGUUGCUACAAUUUGAACUUGAAAACGGUCCUUUUGAAUCUUAGACUCUUCAUGAAAGUUUUAGGACUAUGUCUUAGCUUUCCAUA